AUGUAUAUGACGAGUCUCAAAUAGGAUGAAACUCGUGUCGUGGAU
rnacentral:hammerhead_ribozyme from 1 species